UGGCGGAUGUCAGCGGUUCGAGUCCGCUUAUCUCCA
rnacentral:tRNA from 1 species